AAUCUCUGACGUCAGCCGCCACCACCGUCUCGGCUCUUCUUUUCCCCCUCCCCGACUCCCUCUCCGCGUCUCGUCUCGUCUCGUCGCCGCCCGACCCUCGCUCGCCUCUUCCCGAGGUCUCCACGAUAUUACAUCCCCGAUCGUGCCCGGGGCUUCGUUCCGGUACGUGAGGGGGUCGGCGAUGUUCUUCUCGGGUGACCCGUCGGCGCGGCGGCGGGUCGACCUCGGCGGCCGGAGCAGCAAGGAGCGGGACCGCAAGGUGCUGCUCGAGCAGACGCGCGAGGAGCGGCGUCGGCGCCAGGGCCUCCGACUACAGAACACCUCCGCCACGAAGAUCCAGAAAUUCUUCAGAGGGAAGAAGGCUUUGGAAUUGGCACGCUCAGAGGUUCGGAAGAAUUUUUGCUCAACUUUUGGGGAGCAUUGCGAGCGGAUAGAGUGGAACAACUUCGGAACUAAUUCUGACUUUCUUCGUCAAUUACUGUUUUUCUUUAAUGCAAAUGAAGACAAUGACAUAGCUAUACUUUGUCAAAUCUGCAACUUGCUGCUGCAAUAUGUUAAACAAGGCGGAGAUGUUGUAACUCUCUUUACUGGUGUGAAUGGCUCCUCACUGCAACCUCUCGUUGCUCACAGAGUAAAAAAAAUUACUCUCAUCUGUGUGCAAGCAGUCUAUCAAAAGAGGCAUGAUUGGGGCAGCCAACUUUUGACAACACCUGGAAGCACAUCAGUGCCUUCUGUCUCAUUACUGGAAACUGUAGGUUGCUUGAUAAAUCCAAAAUUUCCUUGGAACUGCAAAGUAGUAGGUUAUCUUCAGCAGAGAAAGAUCUAUUGCUUAUUCCGUGGAAUUGUCAUAUCUGUACCACAAAAGGUCAGAAAUUCUGGGCAUUUUGAUGGUACAUCUGUGCUGGAGCAAGUUCUCAUGCUUGUUGCUUCACAUGUUGGCCAUCAUCCCUGUUGUUGUCUGAAAGUGGAUCCAAGAUGGAGUUUCUCUUCUCAACUUCUGUCCAUCCCUUCUCUAUGGCAUCGUUUACCACACCUCAAGAAGGUUUUCUCAGUUAACGGGUUCAGCAAAUAUUACAUCCAUCAAAUAGCUUGCUUUUUGCCCAGUCUUGCUGAUGUCCUUCCAAAUGACAUAUCAGCUAAUCAUCCAGGAUAUGCGUGUGUCCUUGCAAAUGUUCUUGAAGCUGCAACCUGGAUUUUGUCUGAUGCUAAGUUUGCUUCUGAUUCAGCGGCUGACAUCAUUGCUGUUUCUACCUCGUUGUUGGAUACCUUGCCAGCAGUCACAACACCUACUGAAAGGGCAGAUGAUGAUGAUGAGACACCCAUGGAUGUUGAUAUUAAAAUUAAUCUUGAUGUUGAUUUGGAAAGACAGAUAACUGCAGCAAUUGAUCCAAAGCUACUUCAACAUUUGGUGAAUGCUCUCUUCAGAGGUACAUUAAGCAUAAAUGAUUCUGAUCUGUCUGAACCAUCAGAUGCUGAAGUGGAUGCUGUAGGAUGUAUUUGUGCUUUUCUUCAUGUCACAUUCAAUACAUUCCCUCUAGAGCGAAUUAUGACUGUACUGGCCUACCGGACUGAAAUUGUUCCUGCACUGUGGAACUUCAUAAAGCGGUGCCAUGCAAACCGAAGAUGGCCAUUUUUUUCGAAGUUUGCAUCUUCAUUACCUGCUGAUGCUCCUGGUUGGCUCCUUCCCAUGUCUGUAUUCUGUCCCAUAUACAAGCACAUGUUGAAGAUCAUUGAUAAUGGGGAGUUUUAUGAGCAAGAGAAACCCCUUUCCCUUAAAGAUUUGAAGUCCUUGGUUCUUAUUUUAAAGCAGGCAUUAUGGCAACUUUUGUGGAUUAUUCCAUCCUCUUCUACUCAGAAAGUGUCAUCCAACCCUUCAGGCCUUAAGAAGUUGUCAGUGGAGAAUGUCAAGAUCAGAGCUAGGGUUGGGUUGUCUGAAUUGCUCACACAGUUGCAAGACUGGAACAACCGACUUCCAUUCACUUCUGCAAGUGAUUUCUAUUCCCAAGAAGCAACAAGCGAAAAUUUUGUGUCUCAGGCAAUACUUGGUAAUACUCGAGCAUCAGAGAUCAUAAAGCUUGCUCCUUUUUUGGCUCCAUUUACCAGUCGAGUCAAAAUAUUCACUUCCCAAUUAACGAGUUCUAGACAAUCAACAUCACAUUCUGCAUUGACAAGACAACGGUUCAAAAUAAGAAGAAACCGACUUCUGGAAGAUGCUUUUGAUCAGCUAAGUUUGCUUUCUGAAGAAGAUCUCAAAGGACCGAUUCGAGUUUCAUUUAUUAAUGAACAUGGCGAGGAAGAGGCUGGAAUCGAUGGUGGUGGAAUUUUCAAGGAUUUCAUGGAAAAUAUUACUCGAGCCGCUUUUGAUGUGCAGUACGGUCUCUUCAAGGAGACGGCUGAUCAUCUUUUGUACCCAAACCCAGGAUCAGGAUUGGUUCAUGAACUACAUCUGCAAUAUUUCAAUUUUCUUGGAAGUCUACUUGGGAAGGCAAUGUAUGAAGGCAUACUUGUUGACUUGCCAUUUGCAACGUUCUUCUUGAGCAAGGUGAAACAAAAAUACAAUUUUUUAAAUGAUCUUCCUUCAUUGGAUCCAGAAUUGUAUCGACAUCUUCUAUUUUUAAAGCAUUACAAUGGUGAUAUCUCAGAGUUGGAACUGUAUUUUGUUAUUGUGAAUAAUGAAUAUGGUGAACAAUGUGAAGAAGAACUUCUCCCUGGUGGGAGGGACAUGCGUGUUACGAAUGAUAAUGUUAUUACUUUUAUCCAUCUUGUUGCCAAUCAUCGGUUAAACUACCAGAUCCGUGCACAAAGUACACACUUCUUGAGAGGUUUUCAACAGCUUAUACCAAAAGACUGGAUUGAUAUGUUCAAUGAACAUGAAAUUCAGGUUCUUAUAUCUGGCUCUUUAGAAAGCUUGGAUAUUGAUGACUUGCGGUCGAACACCAACUAUUCUGCAGGAUAUCAUCCAGAUCAUGAGCUUGUUGAGAUGUUUUGGGAGGUCUUGAAGAGCUUAAGUUCAGACAACCAGAAAAAAUUUCUCAAGUUAGUGUCUCUUCUACUAGCUUUUCCCCCCUUACCGUUCACUCGCUAGCAACUGUUUAAGUUGUAUUUUUUAACACUAAUACAUACUAUGUCCUUUUUUUACAUGUGAUGUUUAAUGUCAUAUAUCUAAAAACACGGGAGCAUUCAUGUUUGUGACUGGAUGUUCUCGUGGCCCCCUCCUUGGAUUUCAGUAUCUCGAACCGAAAUUUUGCAUUCAGAGAGCUGGUGUUCCAGGUCUGGAGGAGCAUGCAGACCGCUUGCCGACAUCAGCUACCUGCAUGAACCUUCUGAAGCUCCCCCCCUAUAAAAGCAAGGAGCAGAUGCAAACCAAACUAUUGUACGCGAUAAAUUCAGAAGCUGGUUUUGAUCUAAGUUGAUCAUGAUCGGGAUUCAGUAUUUGCAGUUCAGAUAGUCGCUAUUAAAGGCACCAAGGGCCGAACUCAACCAACCAUCGGCCCCAUUUGAAGCCCCAUGAAUGAAGGAAAUGAAGGAAAAAAAGAAAGAAACGCAGUUGUUUCUCAGAGUAGUUGAAUGUCUGGAGGGAGGCUGCAAUAUAGCUGUCUGCUAACUAAGGGCUUCGUUCUCCAAGAGAAAUAGGCAGACGCUGUCUAAUCAAUCAUGGGCAUGUACAUAUGUGCAUCAUUUUAUACAGAAAUUUUAUAUGUAUCUAAUCAAUGCUGGUUUGCGGUCAUCUGGUCCUUUUUGGCGCA